rnacentral:rRNA from 1 species
AAAUGAAUAGACGGGGGCCCGCACAAGCAGUGGAGUAUGUUGUUUAAUUCGAAGCAACGCGAAGAACCUUACCAGGUCUUGACAUCCUAUGAAUUCUUCGGAAACGGAGGAGUGCCCCAUUUGGGGAGCAUAGAGACAGGUGGUGCAUGGUUGUCGUCAGCUCGUGUCGUGAGAUGUUGGGUUAAGUCCCGCAACGAGCGCAACCCUUGUCAUUAGUUGCUACGCAAGAGCACUCUAAUGAGACUGCCGUUGACAAAACGGAGGAAGGUGAGGAUGACGUCAAAUCAUCAUGCCCCUUAUGAUCUGGGCUACAAACGUACUACAAUGGCCAUUAACAAAGGGAAGCGAAGGAGCGAUCCGGAGCGAAACCCCAAAAAUGGUCCCAGUUCGGAUUGCAGGCUGCAACCCGCCUGCAUGAAGUCGGAAUUGCUAGUAAUCGCAGAUCAGCAUGCUGCGGUGAAUACGUUCCCGGGCCUUGUACACACCGCCCGU